rnacentral:lncRNA from 1 species
GGAGUCUGCUGGGGAGGCUGUGGGUUAGAACUGGCAAAGGGAGUCUGUUGCUGAUUCUUGAGGACUGUGAAACCCAUCUUGAAGAUUCUCUUGCCAGUGAUGUGAUGGAUACAGUGGACGGGGAGGAGCUGGAUGUAUAUUUUCAUGGUUGGUGCGCUGGAACUUCUCCGCUGGACUCCCAGACUUUCAAAGGUACUGUCAUCUGAAAGAUUGUCAGAAUUGGUGUCCUUUUAGAGAGGGUGGCAGAAAAAUUCCCACAGUUCUGCCAUUUUACUGAUAUCAUUCUCCCUUGUUUUUCUUAUCUACAUUUAGGAGUUUAGAUUUCUGAUUUUCUAUUGACUAUUUACACCUGAUUUUAUCAUGUUUGGACCAGUGUCUUCUCUUUCCAUGUCCUAAGCAAGAAUUAGCACAUUUUAUUUCUGUAAAAGUCCAGAUAGUACAUAUUUUCAACUUUGUGGGCCAUAUAGUUUAUGUCCCAACUAUUUCAUUGUAACAUGAAGGCACCCACAUCUACAAGAUGUGAACUCAUGAGUGUGAUUGCAUUCUAGUAAAACUUUAUUUACCAAAAGAAAUGGUGGGCUGGAUUUGGUCCAUAAACAUGGUAUGCCGACCCCUGCCUAAAUCUAUGGCAUCUUCCCUGGCCUGGUUAGCUCUCUGCCCAGCCUCACUCAGGUAGAAGGAUGUAUAUAAAAGAGGAUUAUACCUAUUUGUUUUGGGCUGUGGUAAUUUAUCAGAGAGACAACGGGGGAAGUGUAAAAUGUAGACACAUUGUGGUUAACAUCAGGCCUUACGACUUUGUGGCUGUAGGACCCUCUGUGUAUUCAUUAAUCUGUAAUGUGCGCAUGUUGACAUUAAUACUGUUAGUCAUAGAUAGUAUUUUUCUAGUAUGUUUUCUGGUGAAGGAGUUAGGCAGGAGCCAAAGGGGAUAGGUUUGAAGCUGACUGUGCAGUCUUCCUAGGAAUGAAAAUUCAGGGUUGAACAGAAGAUAAAGGAAAGAGAGCAUCUGGUGUUUGAAAGGACAGACUUUGUUGAUACUCAAAUCCCCCAUCAUAGCUCUGGCUAUCUCUUUUGAAAAAUCAUUGAUCAAAACUGUUUGAGGGAAAAAUGCCAGUGUUUCUUUAGCCUUUGUGUUCUGUUAAUCUCAUAGAUCUGGGUCUUGCCCUGGAAUAUCCUUAAUCAAUAUUUGCCUAUUUGCAGAGGGUUUCAUGUCUUAUUCCUCCGUGAGGCUGAUUUGAAAUGACUCCAGACAUUCUGUGACCAUCAACUGCCAGUUUUUCUUUUCAACUAGGUAACCUGGAACUGUUUUCAAGCUGUACAGCAGGUCAGCUUCCAAUUUCUAGCUGUCUUUGGAAGUCUUAAUUGUUCAUCAGCAUUUAUGGAACUUGUAGCAUGAUCUUUAAUUAUCUUUCCAUUAUGAUGAUAUGUUAGGUGGCUUCUGGAUAAUCUUUUCCAAAUAAGUAAAUAAUUAAUUUUCUCCGAUGCUGGAGGUACUGACAAAGUAUGGAAGCUGUACUAUAUGGGAAAUCUGGCUUUGCAGCUAGAGGGCUCUCUAUUUGAAUUUGACACUGCCCUCAUACUGCAAUCUUGGCCUGGUUGUUUAAUCCCUCUGAAAAUAAAAUCAUACAUCGAAAAAAUGGGACUAAUAACUCCUUCCCUUUGGGAUAGCUUUAAGAGUAGGAAAUGGUGUUAAUAAAGUGACUCACACAAUGCAUUGCACAGAAUAGUUGCUCAAUAAAUGGAAAGUAGUAUUAAAAGAAGAAAAUAGGAGUGGAAGUAUAUAAUAAGAAAGCAUACAUUGUACUACUGGUUGAGUGCUGAAAAUUCUUGAUGUAAUUAGAUAGAAAUGGAGCAGUGUGGCCAUUAAAAUAUGAAUUAUGUUGAGGGGCUCCUGGGUGGCUCAGUCAGUUAAGCAGCCAACUCCUGAUUUCAGCUCAGGUCAUGAUCUCAGAGUCCUGGGAUCAAGCUGUGUGUGGGGCUCCAAGCUGCGCUGGGAAGCUGCUUGAGGUUUCCUCUCCCUCUGCUCCUUCCCCCACUUGCACACACUGUCUCAAAGAAAUAAAUAAAUCUUCCAAAAACAGAGAGAAUUACAUUGAAAGCUACUUUUUAAUUCAUGCUAAUGAGAAAGAGUGAAGCAUAAGGUAGGAGAAUAUAAAUAACUAUAAUUGUCCAUUAUUUCUAAUUUGCAUUAACCAGUUAUUAGUUGUCUUUUGACUAAGUUUGUGCUUACUAAUAAUGGUAAUGAACUUUAUUAAUCGGUUCUAUUCUGUGCCCAACUUUGGUUCAGUCCUAAGGAGUAAAGCUCUUGCUCCAGGUGGGCCAGGGGUUCCUGCUGGAAUACUCAUCUGUCAUGAAUACUUAGACUUGGAGCACAUGAAAAGAACAUCCUUUUCCCAACACAGGUGGGCAGCUUGCAUUGCUUUAAGGGACUACACAGUAAUGGUUAUGGGGAAAACCAUCUAAAUUCCCUGAGUUUUAAUUUUGUCAUGUGGGCAACAAGAAGGUGUGGUGCUUUUGGACCUCUAAGGUCUUUUAUCAGCUCUAAUAGUCUGUAAUUCCAAGGCAUUUCUACCUCAAGAAUCAGAAGUGUUGGAUUUUCCUCCCCAAAUGCCCAUUUCAAGACUCAAACCAAAUUUUAUCCUUGCGGAGAUGAGACCUAGAAUAUCUGACCUAUUUACUCAUCUCCCUGCUGUUAUUUCAGCUGAUAGCUGCAGUUAUUCAGAUAGUGUGAAUUCAUCACACAAUAUUCUUUGACUAAAGUCAUGCUAGAAUUAAUUUACCAACCAUUUAAGAUGGUUUAAAAUACUGUAGGCUAGGGUACAUUCAUUAAGCACUAUAAUUGCAUUUAGAUCAGUCACUGGCUUUUCCCCUCUUUUCAAUAGAAAACAAAGAGUUCUCUCUCCAUUCUGCCCUCCUUCCCUCUGCCUUCUUUAAGUUCCUGGUCUAGCAGCUGCAGAAUCCGUAUGGCAAUGAGUUUCUGAUUCCUGCAGCUGCUGGCUGUGUGCUCCCCAAAGCUCUGGAGUAUGAACUUCAUCCAAGAUCUUUGUUGUUUCCAUAGCAACUGGGACAGUUACAGGUCCUGGCAUUUUGGAAAAUGAGAGUGUGGAUAUGUACGUUAUAUAAUAGAUCUGAGUGUUUUUGAAAAAAAAAAAAA